rnacentral:rRNA from 1 species
AGAGUUUGAUCCUGGCUCAGGACGAACGCUGGCGGCGCGCCUAACACAUGCAAGUCGAACGGAGCUUAGAGAGCUUGCUUUUUAAGCUUAGUGGCGAACGGGUGAGUAACGCGUGAGUAACCUGCCCUAGAGUGGGGGACAACAGUUGGAAACGACUGCUAAUACCGCAUAAGCCCACGGUGCCGCAUGACACUGAGGGAAAAGGAUUUAUUCGCUUUAGGAUGGACUCGCGUCCAAUUAGCUAGUUGGUGAGGUAACGGCCCACCAAGGCGACGAUUGGUAGCCGGACUGAGAGGUUGAACGGCCACAUUGGGACUGAGACACGGCCCAG